AUUGAACGCUGGCGGCAGGCCUAACACAUGCAAGUCGAGCGGAGCGGCGGACGGGUGAGUAAUGCCUAGGAAUCUGCCUGGUAGGGGGGGAUAACGUCCGGAAAAGGGAGCUAACACCGCAUACUAUCAGAUGAGCCGAGGUGGGAUUAGCUAGUGGGUGGGGUAAAGGCCUACCAAGGCGACGAUCCGUAACUGGUCUGAGUGGAUGAACAGUCACACUGGAACUGCGACACGGUCCCGACUCCUACGGGAGGCAGCAGUGGGGAAUAUUGGACAAUGGGCGAAAGCCUGAUCCAGCCAUGCCGCGUGUGUGAAGAAGGUCUUCGGAUUGUAAAGCACUUUAAGUUGGGAGGCGUUACCAACAGAAUAAGCACCGGCUAACUUCGUGCCAGCAGCCGCGGUAAUAC
rnacentral:rRNA from 1 species